rnacentral:rRNA from 1 species
AUUGAACGCUGGCGGCAUGCUUUACACAUGCGAGUCGAACGGUAACAGGCCGCAAGGUGCUGACGAGUGGCGAACGGGUGAGUAAUGCAUCGGAACGUGCCCAGUCGUGGGGGAUAACUACUCGAAAGAGUAGCUAAUACCGCAUACGAUCUAUGGAUGAAAGCGGGGGACCGUAAGGCCUCGCGCGAUUGGAGCGGCCGAUGUCGGAUUAGGUAGUUGGUGGGGUAAAGGCUCACCAAGCCCACGAUCUGUAGCUGGUCUGAGAGGACGACCAGCCACACUGGGACUGAGACACGGCCCAGACUCCUACGGGAGGCAGCAGUGGGGAAUUUUGGACAAUGGGCGCAAGCCUGAUCCAGCAAUGCCGCGUGCAGGAAGAAGGCCUUCGGGUUGUAAACUGCUUUUGUACGGAACGAAACGGCUCUGGUUAAUACCCGGGGCUAAUGACGGUACCGUAAGAAUAAGCACCGGCUAACUACGUG